UCAAAAACUCAAUUUUCAACACUAAUGUAAUAAAAAUCACAACAUAAAUGUAUCGAAAGUAUAACAAAUAGGAGAAAUACAGCGACAACAAUGUUCAAAUAAAUGGGAUAUUAAACAAGAGAAUAACAAAAUCUCCAACUGAUGGAAAUAGUAAUACAGCUCCCUAAUGCAUGAAUGAUCUCAUCAUCACGUAUGUAUAUACGUAUAUAUUACUAUUAAUUAUUAUAAUAAUCAUAUCUUCAAAGUCCAAUGUUGGUGGCAAGUGGCCUAAUAAAAUAGAGAAGAGACCCAUAAUAAGAGCAAGCCAGAAAAUCCAGUCCACGCCAUUCUGCUGCCAUCA
rnacentral:misc_RNA from 1 species